AGACAGCAGCCGCCGCGGUAAUACAGAGGGUGCGAGCGUUAAUCGGAUUUACUGGGCGUAAAGCGUGCGUAGGCGGCUUCUUAAGUCGGAUGUGAAAUCCCUGAGCUUAACUUAGGAAUUGCAUUCGAUACUGGGAAGCUAGAGUAUGGGAGAGGAUGGUAGAAUUCCAGGUGUAGCGGUGAAAUGCGUAGAGAUCUGGAGGAAUACCGAUGGCGAAGGCAGCCAUCUGGCCUAAUACUGACGCUGAGGUACGAAAGCAUGGGGAGCAAACAGGAUUAGAUACCCCGGUAGUCCCUGUCUCUUAUAC
rnacentral:rRNA from 1 species